rnacentral:rRNA from 1 species
ACACAUGCAAGUCGAGCGGUAGCACAGAGAGCUUGCUCUCGGGUGACGAGCGGCGGACGGGUGAGUAAUGUCUGGGAAACUGCCUGAUGGAGGGGGAUAACUACUGGAAACGGUAGCUAAUACCGCAUAACGUCGCAAGACCAAAGUGGGGGACCUUCGGGCCUCAUGCCAUCAGAUGUGCCCAGAUGGGAUUAGCUAGUAGGUGGGGUAACGGCUCACCUAGGCGACGAUCCCUAGC